rnacentral:rRNA from 1 species
AUUGAACGCUGGCGGAAUGCUUUACACAUGCAAGUCGAGCGGCAGCGGCGGGGGCAACCCUGGCGGCGAGCGGCGAACGGGUGAGUAAUACAUCGGAACGUGUCCUGGGAGUGGGGGAUAGCUCGGCGAAAGCCGGAUUAAUACCGCAUAAGCUCUGAGGAGGAAAGCGGGGGCUCUGUAAGGACCUCGCGCUGUUGGAGCGGCCGAUGUCGGAUUAGCUAGGUUGGUGGGGAAAGGCCCACCAAGGCGACGAUCCGUAGCUGGUCUGAGAGGAUGAUCAGCCACACUGGAACUGAGACACGGUCAGACUCCUACGGGAGGCAGCAAGUGGGGAAUUUGGACAAUGGGGGCAACCCUGAUCCAGCCAUUCCGCGUGAGUG